UCCGAGUUGUCCCCGGCAGUCCUCUUAGAGUCCCCGUCAUUACCCGCUGGCAACUAAGAGCAGGGGUUGCGCUCGUUGCGGCACUUAAGCCAACACCUCACGGCACGAGCUGACGACAGCCAUGCAGCACCUGUGCAGGGCCCCGAAGGACACGGGCUUUCACCCGCUUUACCCUGCAUGUCAAGCCCAGGUAAGGUGGGGAUGACGUUGCGCAACUA
rnacentral:misc_RNA from 1 species